GAAGGUGACUUUGGCGGCAGGGCACCACCUCUUCCCAUCCCGAACAGAGAAGUUAAGCCUGCCAGCGCCCAUGGUACUGGGGUAACACCCGGGAGAGUAGGCCGUUGCCUUUU
rnacentral:rRNA from 1 species